CUAGGCUCACAGAGGCGAUGAAGGACGUGAUAAGCUGCGAUAAGCUUCGGGUAGGUGCAAAUAACCUUUGAUCCGAGGAUUUCCGAAUGGGACAACCCAUACAUUUGAAGAAUGUAUAUCUCUACCUAAGGUAGAGAGGCAAACCGAGGGAACUGAAACAUCUUAGUACCUCGAGGAAGAGAAAAUAAACUAAUGAUUCCCCCAGUAGUGGCGAGCGACCGGGGAAUAGCCCAAACCGUCGUUGUUUCGGCAUCGGC
rnacentral:rRNA from 1 species